GGAAAGGUGCCGUGACGCCAUCUCACUGCGCGGGCCAAAGGCCGGGCUUAGUCCCCGCCCCACGUUUGGUUCGUGGUACCCUCCAGGUCUGAGGCGGGCGGCCGGGCGCUGUGUUCGUUGUGUGCGCGCGGUGUUUUUGGUUGCUUUGGCCUUCUUGCUACUCUCCGGUCCUUCCGCCAGCCUCGAGCCCUCACCACUCUCGGUAUCUGUGAUUGUCUUCAGGGAAAGAUUUCUACAAGUGAGGUUGCUAGAGUAAACGAGAGAAGUGUGAGAAAAUUGCUAACAGGAUUUAUUGAAAUUGCUUCUGGCAAAAUUAAAGAGACACGAACGCAACAUGCAUUGGAACAGAUUCAUCAGUGUCUGCUUGCUUUUGCAGCCCUUUUCCUUUUCAAGUGUCUGUUUCAGCCUGUACAACAGUAGUUUUUUCUGCUCAGUAGUAAAUGACCUUUAUUUCAUAAAAGGUAUGCUAUCCUUUCACGUGAAAUAGCCACUGACAAGGUUGUUUUCUAUCUGUCUAUUAUAAUCAGCACCACCCUGUCUGCACUGAGUGAUCCGGGCCACUGGGCCAACACUGGCAGAAGUCAUCGUCACAGUUCUGUUGUUUGAAUGUUCCCAGUGUUCAAAGGCCCUAAUAAAUGAUCCUUUACUACUUCUUAAAGACUAAAGGGGUUUUGAAAGA